rnacentral:rRNA from 1 species
CAUAAGUAAUUAUGAGCGGUAGAGGAGCAUUCUGUAGUAGGGUGAAGUAUGAUCGAAAGGACAUAUGGACGAGGCAGAAGAGAGAAUGCUGGAAUAAGUAGCGAGAGCAAAGUGAGAAUCUUUGCCGUCGAAAGUCUAAGGUUUCCUGGGGAAGGUUCGUCCGCCCAGGGUAAGUCGGGACCUAAGGUGAGGCCAAGGAGGCGUAGCCGAUGGAUAGCAGGUAUAAAAUUCCUGCACUACCGAAAUACUUAAAAACGAUAAGGGACGCAGGAGAGGAAGGAAAUCCGGGAAGAGGAAAAACCGGAGCCGAAAGGCAUAGUGAAAAUUUAAAGUAACGAAGUUCCAAGAAUCACACUGACGAGAAAAGCUUAUUGACAUUGUAUUAAGGUACCCGUACCGCAAACCGACACAGGUAGAUGAGGAGAGGAUCCUAAGACGAGCGAGAGAAGUACUGUUAAGGAACUCGGCAAACUAACCCCGUAACUUAGGGAGAAGGGGUACCUAUGUAAAAGUAGGUCGCAGAGAAGAGUCCCAAGCAACUGUUUAACAAAAACACAGGUUUCUGCUAAAUCGAAAGAUGAAGUAUAGGAGCUGACGCCUGCCCAGUGCUGGAAGGUUAAGGGGAAAUGUUAGAGUAAUCGAAGCAUAGAACUAAAGCCCCAGUGAACGGCGGCCGUAACUAUAACGGUCCUAAGGUAGCGAAAUUCCUUGUCAGGUAAGUUCUGACCCGCACGAAAGGCGUAAUGAUUUGGGAGCUGUCUCGACAGUAUACUCGGCGAAAUUGUAGUACUAGUGAAGAUGCUAGUUACCUGCGACAAGACAGAAAGACCCCAUGGAGCUUUACUGUAGCUUGAUAUUGGGUUUCGGUAAUUUAUGUACAGGAUAGGUGGGAGACUAUGAAGCAAGAGCGUCAGCUUUUGUGGAGUCACCCUUGGGAUACCACCCUUAAAUUAUUGGAAUUCUAACCUGUGAUCAUGAACUGGUCAGGGGACAAUGUCAGGCGGGCAGUUUGACUGGGGCGGUCGCCUCCUAAAGAGUAACGGAGGCGCCCAAAGGUUUCCUCAACCCGGACAGAAAUCGGGUGAAAGAGUGCAAAGGCAGAAGGAAGCUUAACUGAAAGACAGACAUGUCGAGCAGAUACGAAAGUAGGGCUUAGUGAUCCGGUGGUAUGUGAGUGGAAAUGCCAUCGCUCAAC